UACAAUAGCCAUAUCACCCUGCAGCCCAAGACCGGUUACUCACUGAUGCUAAGCAGGGCUUAGCCUGGUUAGUACCUGGAUGGGAGACCACAUGGUAAAACUAGGUUGCUGUUGGAA
rfam:Danio rerio chromosome 6 genomic contig CTG531, GRCz11 reference primary assembly.